UACGUAGGCAGCGAGCGUUGUUCGGAGUUACUGGGCGUAAAGGGUGUGUAGGCGGUUCUUUAAGUUUGGUGUGAAAUCUCCCGGCUCAACCGGGAGGGUGCGCCGAAUACUGAGGGACUCGAGUGCGGGAGAGGAAAGUGGAAUUCCUGGUGUAGCUGUGAAAUGCGUAGAUAUCAGGAGGAACACCGGUGGUGUAGACGGCUUUCUGGACCGUAACUGACGCUGAGACACGAAAGCGUGGGUAGCAAACAGG
rnacentral:rRNA from 1 species